AGCGUGAGGUCGGCAAGUUCAAGUCUUCCCAGGCCCACCACUUUCAUCGAGUGAGCAUUCGUCUUCUGGUUACGGGGCCAUAGCUCAGCUGGGAGAGCGCGUGCUUUGCAAGCAUGAGGUCGUCGGUUCGAUCCCGUCUGGCUCCAUCAGAUGGUUUGAUCAUCGACUGAUCGUGCACCGUCGUCCGCGAAACAUCACUUCGCAUCCUGCUAGUCUGGAUAGACAGCAAGUUGCGUGUUUUCUGACAUCGUAAAGAGGAGAUCGAUCCGAGUUGGGUCGUGUAGCAGAUUGCUGCGCGGGCCCUUCAUUAUCUCCGGAUCAUUUUCGGCGCUCGACGCUGACCGCAAGGUUGGCUGCGAGUUGUAAAAUGAUCCUUUUAGCGAAGCUUGACCGCCUCGCUAUCGGAACGAUCUUACGAAGCAAGCUGGUCUUUCUAGUCAAUGUCCGGCUGCGACAAUCGUAUCUUCGAGGGUACGUGCCUUUAAUGGCAGUUGCGCAGACAACAUUCUGCCGAGUGUGUGGACAUUGAUAAUGAGAGC
rnacentral:tRNA from 1 species